AGAUGAUUUAACUCAUGUAAAACAACAGUGAUGCGUUCAUCCUCUAUUCCAACAAAGAGCAAUGCAGCAGUCGGAAUUAUGCGUAAAAGAGGAUCUGCAUUGAUUUGUGAUGCUUGGAAAGAAACUCUUUCAAUGGCAGGAUGCAUGCUUUCCGAAAUGAGCACGUCGAAGAGUGGAAUCAAGACGAAUAGUUCUGCUGCAGGUCCACAACCUUCUAGAUGGCCAUUGGAAUUUAAGAAGAAACAGCAAGAGAUCAUUGAGCUUUGGCACACUUGCAGUAUUUUCUUGGGCCACAAUACUUAACUGUUCUGGCUAUUCAAACGAGAAUCAGCUGACUCCAUUUACACGGAAUUCUUUUGAGUCAACAUCUACACAACGAUUUAAAACGCACUUGGAAGUCAGUAACAAGAUCACUUCGAAAUGUUUCGUAUUUUUUCGGGAUGGAAAUACGUUUCAAGCAAUGGUUGUACUGCAACUAAUGUGCAUCACUUAGGAAACAUGAAAUUGUUGAAGCAAA